rnacentral:lncRNA from 1 species
AUGUGCCAGCUGGGCACAUGCCUGGCUUCUUCCAAACCUUUGCUUUGGUACCGCCUCAUGGGAUGGUUGCAAGGAUUAAAUGAGUACUUAGCACUGACAAGUGUGUGUAGAUUGACACGACCGGCAAAUGGAGCUAAUGGAUUAAAAUUAUGGAGGAAUUGGCUGUACCGUGGUUGGGGUGGAGAGCAAGAAAAGCUGGGAUCUCGGGAUGACGGCAUGAUGGGCGGGGGCCAAGAAGCUGAGCGCCUCCUCGCAGAUGCCUUGUCACUGGGUCAAAGUGUGACGAUGAACGCACGUGUGUUGCUGGAUCGCCGUCACCACUACCAGCGCUGGGGAAGCCUCCCUGCUUUACCAUGGCUUUGGCGGCACAGAGCAACUUCUUUGAACAGCCCUGGGCUGCCGUGAGCUGCAGGAAACGGGGGACCUCCCUGCUUACGGUUGAGGCCAGAUGUGGAGGUGACGCAGAGUGCACUUGGCAGGUGCACUGGGGAAGGGUCCCCCAGGACAGGCCCCCAUUCCUGGUGCUUCCCCCACAACCAGGAGGAACAAAUGCAGCGCCGCGGGCCCUGCGCUUCCCUGACGAGGGGGCACGGGGGCGCCCCUGGCCACGGGGUGUGGUGGAAGCCGCUGGCUGGGACCGGAGGCCUGGGUUUGCUGGGCACCUUUGCAUUUAUGUUCCGAGAGGCACAAGCCUCGUUUUCCCUUCCCGUCCUGUCGUGGUCUGGUUUGGGUAUUAGGGUAAUACUGGCCCCCCAGAAUGAGCCAGGCAGUGUGCCCCCGCCUCAUUUUCUGGAAGCGUCAGUACCGUUUCUUCUUCACGUGUCUGGGAGAGCUCACCCGGGAAGCCCGCUGGGUCUGCGCUUUCUGUUUUGAAAGCUGGUUAGUUAUGGAUUCAGCUUCUUGAACAGACACAGGCCUCUUCAGGGACCGCUCGCUCCUUGCUUUGGUAGAUGUGCUCCUCGAGGAAUCAGUUCAUUUCAUCUAAGCCACCAAGUGUGUGGACGCCGAGUUGCUUGUGCUAGCCCUUCAUUUUCCUCACCGUGGCCGGGUGGCGUGUGACCAGCCCUCUCUCGAUCCGACACCAGCCGUCUCCACCUCCUCCCUUGUUGUUUUGGUUAGCCCGGCUAGAGGUUUAGGAAGCUGGAGUUUUGAAUGCCUUCUCUGCCAGAGGGCACCUUCCAAGUCUCUAUUUCUUUUUGUCCUUGAGAAGUUAAAAAGGCCAAGCCCUUUUGGGAAAGGAAGGGGAGCAUAUCCCCGAAGGCUUUUGGUGGCCUCUGGCUGCUUCCCCCAGCCUCUCCGGCUCGCAGUCGCUUUUAACCAGGUGCUAAGAGUGCUGCGGACAGAGCCA